rnacentral:rRNA from 1 species
AUUGAACGCUGGCGGCAGGCCUAACACAUGCAAGUCGAGCGGCAGCGGGAAAGUAGCUUGCUACUUUUGCCGGCGAGCGGCGGACGGGUGAGUAAUGCCUGGGGAUCUGCCCAAUCGAGGGGGAUAACUACUGGAAACGGUAGCUAAUACCGCAUACGCGCUACGGGGGAAAGCAGGGGACCUUCGGGCCUUGCGCGAUUGGAUGAACCCAGGUGGGAUUAGCUAGUUGGUGGGGUAAUGGCUCACCAAGGCGACGAUCCCUAGCUGGUCUGAGAGGAUGAUCAGCCACACUGGAACUGAGACACGGUCCAGACUCCUACGGGAGGCAGCAGUGGGGAAUAUUGCACAAUGGGGGAAACCCUGAUGCAGCCAUGCCGCGUGUGUGAAGAAGGCCUUCGGGUUGUAAAGCACUUUCAGCGAGGAGGAAAGGUUGGUAGCUAAUAACUGCCAGCUGUGACGUUACUCGCAGAAGAAGCGCCGGCUAACUCCGUGCCAGCCGCCGCCGUAA